GGAUAUCACACAAGUUUAUGAGGCUCUGGACCACAAGUUCAAGGACCUUGAUGCAAAGAAAACUGACUUUGAUAGACAUGGAAAGUAUGAAAACAGGAAGAAGCCUUCCAGAUAUUGUUGGAGUGUACUUUCCAAAGCCCUAGCCAUCAUAACCAAUGGGGAAAACAAGUAUUAAGAAUACAAACAGAGAAGACAAGAUACUAGUAUUCAAGAACUGAUACAGUCUCAGGGCUGAGAACUGGAAAGUUGUGUGAUAUUCAGCUCAACUGGCAGCCACAGAGGAUCUGAACUCAAGAAUAGGACUUCCUUUGUUCCACUGGGAUCUGCUGCUAGUUUAUAUUGUAUAAAAAUGAUCCCACCUUCUA